AUUGAACGCUGGCGGCAUGCCUUACACAUGCAAGUCGAACGGCAGCGGGGACUUCGGUCCGCCGGCGAGUGGCGAACGGGUGAGUAAUGUAUCGGAACGUACCAUUGAGUGGGGGAUAACUAUCCGAAAGGAUAGCUAAUACCGCAUAUUCUCUCCGGAGGAAAGCAGGGGACCGCAAGGCCUUGCGCUCAUUGAGCGGCCGAUGUCAGAUUAGCUAGUUGGUGAGGUAAAGGCUCACCAAAGCGACGAUCUGUAGCGGGUCUGAGAGGAUGAUCCGCCACACUGGAACUGAGACACGGUCCAGACUCCUACGGGAGGCAGCAGUGGGGAAUUUUGGACAAUGGGGGCAACCCUGAUCCAGCCAUGCCGCGUGAGUGAAGAAGGCCUUCGGGUUGUAAAGCUCUUUCGGCCGGGAAAAAAUCGCAUGGGUUAAUACCCUGUGUGGAUGAUGGUACCGGAAUAAGAAGCACCGGCUAACUACGUGCCAGCCGCCGCAGUAA
rnacentral:rRNA from 1 species